UAAUUUUUCUCCAUCACUUAUCAGUGCAAUUUUAUCCAUUUAAUAGCCAAAAAUAAAGGUGCUAACAUCAAAAUGGUGUAAAAAAAAUCUCAGAUUAAGAAGUGGUUUGACAAAUGCGGUAGAGUCCUUCACAAAUUUGACUCUUGGUUAGGUGCAUGGAUCAAACUGACAAGAUUUUCAACUUCGAUGAAUUUUCACAUUU
rnacentral:lncRNA from 1 species